rnacentral:rRNA from 2 species
UCACCUGUUUUUCAAAAACAUGUCUUAUAGAUUUUAAUUUUAAGUCAAAUCUGCUCAAUGAAAAUUAAAUAGCUGCAGUAUCAAUAACUGUACAAAGGUAGCAUAAUAAUUAGUUUUUUAAUUUAAAACUAGAAUGAAAGAUUUAAUGAAAUAUAAACUCUAUCAAAUUUAAUAAAUAAAUUUAUUAUUUAAAUUAAAAAAUUUAAAUUAAUAUUAAAGACAAGAAGACCCUAAAGAAUUUUUAUAAUUUUCUUUUUAUAAAAUUAAAUUAUUUUAAUUGGGGCAAUUUUAAAAUUUAUUAAAUUUUUAAUUAAUUUAUAAUUAUUUAACAUAAAUAUUUGAAUAAAUUUCUUUUUUUUUUUAAAAAAUAAAAUUAAAUUACCUUAGGGAUAACAGCAUAAUUUUUUUUAAAAGUCCAAAUAUAUAAAAAAGUUUAUGACCUCG